GCCAGGCGUUGUGGUGGGUACCUGUAGUCCCAGCUCCUUGGGAGGCCGAGGCAAGAGAGUCGCUUAAGCACAGGAGUUUGAGGUUGCUGUGAGCUGUGAUGCCAUGACACUCUAUCGAGGGUGACAUAGUAAGACUCUGUCUCAAAAAACAAAACGAAACAAACCAAUUUAUUUAGACUUACUCUGUCGCCCUGGGUAGAGUGCCAUGGCAUCAUAGCUCACAACAACCUCAAACUCUUGGGUUGAAGCGAUCCUCUUGC
rnacentral:sRNA from 1 species